rnacentral:rRNA from 1 species
UCUAGGGGAGGCAGCAGUGAGGAAUAUUGGACAAUGGGCGCAAGCCUGAUCCAGCCAUGCCGCGUGUAGGAAGACAGCCCUACGGGUUUUAAACUACUUUUAUACAGGAAGAAUAAGAGCUAUGCGUAGUUCGAUGACGGUACUGUAUGAAUAAGCAUCGGCUAACUCCGUGCCAGCAGCCGCGGUAAUACGGAGGAUGCAAGCGUUAUCCGGAAUCAUUGGGUUUAAAGGGUCCGUAGGCGGUUAUUUAAGUCAAGGGUGAAAGCUUCCAGCUCAACUGGGGAAUGGCCUUUGAUACUGGGUAACUUGAAUUAUUGUGAAGUGGUUAGAAUGUGUAGUGUAGCGGUGAAAUGCUUAGAGAUUACACAGAAUACCGAUUGCGAAGGCAGAUCACUAAUGAUAUAUUGACGCUGAUGGACGAAAGCGUGGGUAGCGAACAGGAUUAGAUACCCUGGUAGUCCACGCUGUAAACGAUGGUCACUGGCUGUUGGGUUUUAGGAUUCAGUGGUUAAGCGAAAGUAAUAAGUGACCCACCUGGGGAGUACGUUCGCAAGAAUGAAACUCAAAGGAAUUGACGGGGGCCCGCACAAGCGGUGGAGCAUGUGGUUUAAUUCGAUGAUACGCGAGGAACCUUACCAAGGCUUAAAUGGGAAUUGACAGGUUUAGAAAUAGACUUUUCUUCGGACAAUUUUCAAGGUGCUGCAUGGUUGUCGUCAGCUCGUGCCGUGAGGUGUCAGGUUAAGUCCUAUAACGAGCGCAACCCCUGUUGUUAGUUGCCAGCACAUUAUGGUGGGGACUCUAACAAGACUGCCGGUGCAAACCGAGAGGAAGGUGGGGACGACGUCAAAUCAUCACGGCCCUUACGUCUUGGGCUACACACGUGCUACAAUGGCAAGUACAGAGGGCAGCUACGGAGCAAUCCGAUGCUAAUCUUCAAAACUUGUCUCAGUUCGGAUCGGAGUCUGCAACUCGACUCCGUGAAGUUGGAAUCGCUAGUAAUCGCAUAUCAGCCAUGAUGCGGUGAAUACGUUCCCGGGCCUUGUACACACCGCCCG